CAGCCGUAAACAAUGUGCGUUAGGUGUGUCGGUAACCACGCGUUACUGAUGCGCCGAAGAGAAAUCGUGAAACGCACCACCUGGGAAGUACGGACGCAAGGCUGAAACUUAAAGGAAUUGGCGGGGGAGCACCACAACAGGUGGAGCCUGCGGUUUAAUUGGAUUCAACGCCGGACAUCUCACCGGAUAAGACAGCUGAAUGAUUGUCAAUCUGAAGGUUUUACAUGACUAGCUGAGAGGAGGUGCAUGGCGUCAGUGACU
rnacentral:rRNA from 1 species